AUCAUGAAACAUCACUUGCAAGUUUUAUUUUGGUAAUCUGUUACAUCAGGAGGAUUUUCUUAUGGUGUACAUUAUAAAAUAUCAUAUAUAAAAUAUUGGCAGAGUUGAUUUAUGAGAGAAAAGCGUGCAAGGCAGUUUCAAAUUAGAUCAUAAAAAAGUAGGGUAAGGGAAAAGAAUCUGGUUUUUGUUCCCUUUACUACAUUUCAUUUUAUUACACACUGAUCUUCUGCCUGGAUCCAGCUGACCCUGCCUAAUGUGAUUCAGGUGUUUGCGCUGCGCUCCCCUGGGCUCCUGGUUGUGCGGGGGCCUGAAGCUGGCCCUUCAUGGGGCCAGGGUGUGCCUGGUGCAACUGGUUCACUUGGACUUUGAGCCUCACUUCUGAUGUGUUCAUGUCUCAUCCGUUUCCUGCUUAACAGGAGAAGGUCUUAGCUUUUCAGUAUCCCCUGAAAAUCAUUGCAAGGAGGAGCUUCCAUCUACCUGCUUGACAGUGCCUUCUGUUUAGUGCUGCCAGGGCUUUUGAAGUCCUGCUGCUGUCCUGUUUUCCGAACUGGAAAUUGCUUCAUUUUGAUGCUCUGUAGCAGGGCUUUUUACGUUGUCUUAGCAGGUGAUUUGCUGCUUUCAUACAGCAUUGAGGUUGGGAGCAGAGAACAAAUAGGCAGGGAGCUUGAGUGAUUCAGAAUUUUUCCUCAAAUUGCAGGGAGCAGGAAAAUGCAUGGCUUUCAUGUUCGGUGGGAUGUAAAAAUAGCUGUAGUUGACUCCACCCCUCUAUGACUUGCUUCCAGGAACAUGUUGAGCUAAUGAAUGUGAAGUAUAUUUAAUACAUGUGCAGUCUAUUUCCUACCAUCUUUCAAAUUCUCUCAGUGCCCUUAAGAGUUUUAAAAUUGUCUUUUUUCAUCCAGUUUUCUGAAAUAAUGUGAGCUGAUUUAAUGUGGGAUGAAAUUCUGUUUCAGAUAAAUCCAACCAAUUUGACUUCUGUAGGUACAUCUUCCAGUACUCUAAACAGUUGCAUUUAAUAAUGAAAAAGUCAAUAAUCUCACAAGUGUGUUGGGGAAGUAAUUUUUCUUCCUUACAGGACUUUCUUGUGGUCAUGCAUUUUUUCUGAACCUUGAGAAUUGCCAUAAAAGCAUUGCUUGAACAUUGCCACAUGACUGAUUUUACAACAAGCAACAUUUGUCAUGCUUAAAAUGACUAACCAGUAUUAGCAUUUAACAGCUUUUCUGUGUGAUAUAUAAGCUGUUUUACUAGUUAUGUAGCAAUAUCAUUAAGCUGUUAAGUUUAUAUAAAGGUACACAGAAGAACUAGGAGCUUCCCAUCUAAAAAGAUGGAUGCCUGUGAGGAAGAGACAGUAUUCAGACGAGUCAGAAGGGGCUAAUUAGCACCUUCUAUGACACAUAUUUUAGCAGUCAGUACGUUUCUUGAAGUUUGAAGGCUUUAGACUAAUACAGAAGAAGAAAGCCUCUUCAGGAAAAAGCAUCUGCACUAUGCUGUGAGGAGAUUUAAACAAGCAGCUCUGUUUGUGAAGUGCUGUAAGAGCCCAUCUGAUGAUGUAAUUUCUGCCUCUGAUGAAACAUUCCUACAUUUCUCUCUGCUGCUAGACAACCAAUUUUGUGUUCUCCAUACGUCAGGUCUUUCUUCACUAACAUCUCAGUAUCCAUGCUUUUGUGGAGAAACAGUGCAGGUUUCUUUUAUGCAGGGUCUUGAAUUUUGAUGAGACACCAAUGUCAAUUGUUUGACCACUAACCAAAUUGGUUUUGGCUUUACAGUCUGUUGUUGAUAGUGCAUUCACAACUUGCAUCUUAUGCCUUUUGUUGAAUAUUUCACACAUACAGUGGCAACGGCUGAAAUUUAACAUGCACGUUUUCCAAAGCAUAGCCUAAAAUAAGAUCGUAUGUAAUGUUAAAGCAAGACAGUUGUUAAAAAUGUGCUUUUAAGGACACGUUGUGGGUUUUCAUGGUCUCUGACAUUUGUUUCUUGCUUUUUGUUGUCUCAGUACGGUAAUCUUAACAGAGGUACUUUCAUGAGCCUAAAGUUUGCAUUUUAAUAUGCAUUUAUUAGCCUUAAAUUUUGCAUACUAAUAAAAGUCUGAAAUAUAUUCCCCAAGAGUUUUGCAUAUAAAUGGUAUGUAUAUCUUAAAAUUCAGUAAUUGUUCUCGUAAGCUCAUGAUAACUUUUAGAGAAUACACUGUAUUACUGAUGCAGAGGUCACAGUUUUACUGAGUUAACAAGAUGUUUCCUUCUUGACUUACUCCCUUGUUGUAAGAAAUUUGAUUGAUCGAGCAUAUCCUGGAGAGGCAUGGCAACAACUUUCCCUCUGUAUGGGCUCAAAGAAUGACGUUUAUAUUGCUGUGGGAUUCCAGAAGAGAUUAUGCUGCUGAGGACAGUCACUGAGAUGUUAUGAUUUUGCUCUCCUGUGUAAAUAUGUUUGCGUUUGUACUACAGAGCCUGACCCUAUUAGUUGUAAACCAAAUAUGAGAUAUGAAACAAUGUUUUUCAGGAGAUUUCAAAUGCAGAAGUGUCAUUAGUAUUUAUACUGACUUCUGAAAUGGGGAAAAAAUUGAACUUCAGCAAGAAGAAAAAAAAAAAGCUGGGCAGAUUUUCUUCAGUGUGAAUCUGGAUAUUCAGGGCAGAUAGCUAGCUGUGCUAACUUGUAUCAAAGGGAACCUUAAUGCAGCGAUGCUCUCUUAGCUGGUUUUGGGUCAUGUAGUCCAGAAGAGAUUGGUCUUUGGUUUGGGAAAGCAGUUCAGCUGUGCAGCUGCUGAAGAGGAUGGAACUGAGCUGUCAGUUACUGAGCUGGAUACCUGCAUUCUGAACUGUCUGCCAUGGGGCUGUAACACCGUACCCUUCUGCUGCCUUCGUAUGAGGUACAAAGCAGAGGGUUGUCAGGUCCACGUAACUGAUUCCUUCAGCCUAGGUGAGGAACAUUGUGACCCACCGUAAGGUAAUAAAUACAGCAUGAAGCCAAAAAGGUCAAGGACAUAGCUGAGAGCAAGUGUGCCUUUAUUCUUGCUGGGUAGUGUGACUAAAGGGAAAAGAACACAUUUGGUAUAAAUGCAGCAUUAUUCUCAAAAGCAGUUGUUUAAUUUUAUUACAACAAACCAUAUUAUGUUGCUUCUCCUUCUUCUCUUCUUUCCUUCUUCCAAAUAGAACAAUUUCAUUUAGCCUUACCACAUCAAGACUGGUUGACAAGAAACAACUGGUGUAUUUGCAAUUAUUUUAAACUACAGAGAUUCGUUCACUGCUGUCCUUAGAGCCUUAAAAUGCUGUUUCUUUGCCUCUUAAAAUCCUGUUAGUCUUACUUUCUCCAUCAUUAUGAGGGUGGUCAUGUUUCUGUUCCCCUCAUUAAGUCACAAGCUGUCUUGAUUUUUUUUUUAAUUUCCAGCCUAGUCACUUCUUAUGUAAAAAAAAAAGUCCUGCUCCCUCUAGUUUGAGUAUGAGUGAUUAUAGCAAACAGGUUUUGGCCUAUGUAAGUAAAGUUGAAUUUUACAAAAGCUUUGCUUUCACAUAUUAUUUCAAAGGUGAAAAGGAAUAUCAGGAUUAACUAAAUAAGGUGGAUUUUGCAUUUGCAGAGUCUCUGAAAUACAUACGCAUCUACUGGAUAUAAUGACGCAUUUCAUGCAGUAACACUAUUACUAAAUAAGUCUUGUAAUUUUCUUUUUGUUGGUUUGUUAUUAGGAUCCAUUCUAUAGAUUUAAUGAUGUGAUGUACAGAUGGAUCUCACUAGAUAACUGGACUUACAGCAGGACAUUCAAAACUCCUUUUGACAUCAGAAAGUGGCAGAAAGUGAAUUUGGUUUUUGAGGGAGUAGAUACAGUAGCACAGAUCCUGAUCAACAAUAUCAGUCUUGGGAGAACAGACAACAUGUUCAACAGAUAUAGCUUUGAUAUUACCAGCGUGAUCAAGGAGGUCAAUUUUGUCGAGGUCCGUUUCUUAUCAGCCGUUUCAUAUGCAGCAGAGCAGAGCAGAUGUCACAAAGCAUACAGCAUCCCCCCGGCGUGCCCUCCACCUGUGCAGAAAGGAGAGUGCCAUGCUAAUUUCAUCAGAAAGGAGCAGUGUUCAUUUAGCUGGGACUGGGGCCCUUCUUUUCCCACUCAAGGAAUCUGGAAAGAUGUUAGGAUUGAGGCCUAUAACUAUUACCACCUGAUUUACUUUUCUUUGACUUCUUUCUUUGUAAAGAGCGCUCAGCAGUGGAGUCUUGAAAUUGAGUCUAUUUUUGAUGUAGUCAGCUCCAAGCCAAUUGCAGGUCUUGUGACUGUGAACAUUCCCAAACUGAAAACGCAGCAAACAUUCAGUGUGAAGCUUCAACCUGGAGAAGGCAGCAUUGUGCUGCUUGUAAACAUCAACAAGAGUUCUACAGUGGAGACUUGGUGGCCAAAUGGACAUGGAAAGCAGAGUGGAUACAAUGUGACAACAACUUUCAUCAUGGAGGCAGGAUACCAGAUUGAGAGAUUUUCAAAGGCCUAUUUUCGGACAGUAGAACUUGUUCAGGAGCCUAUUCCUGGCUCACCAGGUCUGAGUUUCUACUUUAGAAUCAAUGGCCGACCCAUUUUCAUCAAGGGCUCGAACUGGAUUCCAGCAGAUUCUUUCCAGGACAGAGUCACCUAUGACACAUUAUGGCUACUCUUGAAGUCUGCAGCAGAUGCUAACAUGAAUGCACUUCGGGUUUGGGGAGGAGGAGUAUAUGAACAAGAUGAAUUUUAUGAUAUUUGCGAUGAACUAGGAAUAAUGAUUUGGCAGGAUUUUAUGUUUGCAUGUGCGCUAUAUCCAACUGACCAGAAUUACUUAGAUUCUGUAAGAGCAGAAGUUUCUCAUCAGGUAAGGCGUUUAAAAUCCCAUCCGUCAAUUAUUGUAUGGAGUGGUAACAAUGAAAAUGAAGCAGCAAUUGCAAGCAACUGGUUCUCCAUACCUUAUGCUGACAGAGAAGUCUAUAUCAAAGACUAUGUGACGCUUUAUGUGAAGAUCAUCCGAGAAAUUGUUCUUACUGAAGAUAAGAGUCGUCCUUUCAUUGCAUCCAGUCCCACCAAUGGCUUGGAGUCAAUUAAAGAAGGUUGGCUCUCCCAGAAUCCUUAUGAUACCCAUUAUGGUGACACUCACUUCUAUGACUACAGCAAUGACUGCUGGAACUGGACAGUGUAUCCUAAAACUCGUUUUGCUUCAGAAUAUGGGUUUCAAUCCUGGCCUUCCUUCAGUACAAUUGAAAAGGUUUCCUCCACUGAGGACUGGUCCUACUCAAGCAAUUUUUCUCUCCAUCGACAACACCAUGAAAAUGGCAAUGAUCAGAUGCUUCAACAGAUUGGGCAUCAUUUCAAGCUUCCCCAGAGCACAGAUCCCAUAAAGAAUUUCAAAGAUAUGAUUUACCUCACUCAGGUGAUGCAGGCUCAGUGUAUAAAGACAGAAACUGAAUUCUAUCGUUUUAGUCAAAGUGAAAUAAUCAAGGGAGAAGGACACACAAUGGGAGCUCUGUACUGGCAACUCAAUGACAUUUGGCAGGCACCUUCGUGGGCUUCCUUGGAGUAUGGUGGCAAGUGGAAACUGCUCCAUUAUUUUGCCCAGAACUUCUUUGCACCACUGCUGCCUGUGGCCUAUGAAGACAAAGGUGUGUUGUACAUUUAUGGUGUCUCAGAUCUUCAUGCGGACCACAAGCUGACUCUGAGGGUCGUUGUACACGCCUGGAGUUCUUUGGAGCCCGUAUGCACCCUUGCCAAAGACGGUGUGAUUGUUAAAGCACAAAGUGCUGUCCCCAUCUAUACGGAGUCCAUAAAUGACUUGCUGGAAAGAUGUAGAAAUUGUACCAGGAAAAGCUGCGUUAUUACUUUCAGUCUUGUGGGAGAAGGUGGGCUGCAGAGUCCUACGAACCAUCACUUCCUUUCAUCUCUAAAAGAUGCUGUGGGAUUACAAAAGACCCAGCUAAGUGCCUCUAUGUUGAUAAAGGAAUUUAAAAGUUAUCUGAGAGGCAUCCUGGGCCAACAAUACAAGAAAAAUCCUUCAGUUUUUCCAGUGUCCUGGAAUAAAAGCAGCAACAGAGUCAAUAUAAGAUCAGGGCAAAGAUAGGAAUGCAACAGUGAUCUUCAGAGCAUCCAUUGCUCCUGUCCACAUGUCCAGCUGUAGCCAUCUGAGUGGCCUUGCAGUACUUGGCAGCACCUGGGUUGCCAGUUGCGUCUGAUGGGCUGGGGAUCGGCAGCAGGAGCAUUUGCUGUUGGAAUCUUUUGAAGCCAGCCAAAGCUUGGACUGCGCCUUUGGCAGUUACUCCAGAACUGCUCUACUGUAAGAGAAGCUCAUGUGCUCCAGGCAAGCCAAAAGCUGUGGGUGGUGGACUUGUCUGUGUCACUUAUACUUUCCUCUGCUAAGCCUGGUUCCUCUGUAUGCUGCCUUCAUCCUCACACCUGCAAGGAGCCUCAUCUUCUCCCAGGUGCCAUCAGCACAAGAAUCGGCAUGCCCUGUACAGGAUGACCACCUACUAAUAAGAAAAAAGGAGUGACACCCAGGUUAUUGAAGACUGAGCUGAGCCAAGAACACCACCGUCCACCUCCGUAUUUGUGCCAAGAAAACCGGCUACAAGUGGUACAAUGCUGCUCAUUGCAUUUUCUUCAUGAAAUCUGGUACCUGUAUUCUUAGUGGGGCCAACAUCUGUCAGGGUUGCACUCGCCAUCUCAGCAUUGAUGUGCAACAAGAAGAAAUACUGCUCAGGAACACAGUUAGGAGAGGAGUUUCUAGGUAGCCUAGAGAAGAACAGCCUCAUCGGAGUUUUGCUGAGAUGCUCAAUAGUUGGUUUUGCUACAUCAUUCUCUGCUGCCAGAGUCAUGAGAACUAAAAGAGACCCUGAGUCAAAGGCUUCAGUUCCAAAGCACAGCUGCUCCACAGUAGCUGAUGCUCCUCGUCUCCCACCAUAGAAGACACUUAAGCGUUACGACCGGUGGCUUGCAACCCUUGGUUUAUUCUGGUAUUUGGAAAUCAGCAUAAUUUUGUAUCA